rnacentral:tRNA from 1 species
GUGGGCGUCUUCUAAUGGUUAGGAAAUCUCGUUGUGGUCAGUUUAGAUUCCGUGAAAAUGUCGGUUCGAUUCCGGCCGCCCACA